rnacentral:snoRNA from 15 species
CUUUAGGGGAGGGAGCGCGGCCUGGGGUUCGGCUGUGUCUGUGGGGCGGUGUCGCGUGGAAGGUGCAUGUGAGCCGAGUGCGUGAGCGGACGCGUGUGUAUGUGUGCUUGGGGCGUGCAAGGCGAGUGCGUGCGCCUCCUCCUGCGCCCCUCCCUCCCGCCUACACCUUGAUCUUAUUUGAUCCGGUCGUGAUCCCAGCCCCGCCGGGCCGACCCGAAAUGAAAAGCUGUCCUCCUGCGAAGCCCCUUCCCGGGGCGCUGUGCAGCGAGGCCUUUUGGGCGGUGGCAAGCCGCGGUCCCCGAGGCCCUGGACUCGGUCGGACGGGACCCGGCGCUCAGAAGUGAUGAAUUGAUCAGAUAGACGAGGCCGGGCUUGUCCUGA